rnacentral:lncRNA from 1 species
AAUAAGUCUCCCAGAUUAUCUAACCUUUAACAUAACUCAAGUGCGGAAAUAAAAUAAUUACAUCACAUCAUUUAAAAAUAAAGUCUAUCAUCAUGACAUUAAAUAAAGUACAAGUCUUCAUCACUUGCUCAUUUUUCCUUUCCCUUUGCUAGUGGUAGGUUCAUCGACCUUCUCAACCUUAGCUGCAAUAAUUAUAUUUAUGCAAGAGUGAGCAAAACAAAUGCCCACUUGGAAUAGCAAUGAAUAACAAUAGCAUAAUAAUUGUCGAUGAAUAAGCUCAUCAGAACUAAAUAAUACUCUGUCAAUAAUAAUCAAAAACUGGCAUCAACAUACAAAAUGUAACUGAGGGUCACAAGACCACAAACUAUGUCCAAGGUUACAGGUAAU